rnacentral:rRNA from 1 species
GACGAACGCUGGCGGCGUGCCUAAUACAUGCAAGUCGAACGCAGUGGGGACGGGUGAGUAACACGUGGGUAACCUCCCAUCAGAGGGGAUAACACUUGGAAACAGGUGCUAAACCGAUACUGAUGGAUGGACCCGCGGUGCAUUAGCUAGUUGGUGAGGUAACGGCUCACCAAGGCCACGAUGCAUAGCCGACCUGAGAGGGGGAUCGGCCACACUGGGACUGAGACAAGGACCAGACUCCUACGGGAGGCAGCAGGGGGGAAUAUUGGAAAAUGGACGAAAGGCUGACCGAGCAAUGCCGCGUGGGUGAAGAAGGUUUUCGGAUCGUAAAGCACUUUUAGUAGAGAGGCGGUAUCUAACCAAAAAGCAACGGCUAACUACGUGCCAGCAGCCGCGGUAAUUC